CGCCUGGGGAGUGCGGCCGCAAGGUUAAAACUCAAAUGAAUUGACGGGGGCCCGCACAAGCGGUGGAGCAUGUGGUUUAAUUCGACGCAACGCGAAGAACCUUACCUGGCCUUGACAUCCAGAGAACUUUCCAGAGAUGGAUUGGUGCCUUCGGGAACUCUGAGACAGGUGCUGCAUGGCCGUCGUCAGCUCGUGUCGUGAGAUGUUGGGUUAAGUCCCGUAACGAGCGCAACCCCUAUCCCUGGUUGCUAGCAGGUAAUGCUGAGAACUCCAGGGAGACUGCCGGUGACAAACCGGAGGAAGGUGGGGAUGACGUCAGGUCAUCAUGGCCCUUACGGCCAGGGCUACACACGUGCUACAAUGGCGCGUACAGAGGGCUGCCAACUCGCGAGAGUGAGCCAAUCCCUUAAAACGCGUCGUAGUCCGGAUCGGAGUCUGCAACUCGACUCCGUGAAGUCGGAAUCGCUAGUAAUCGCGAAUCAGAAUGUCGCGGUGAAUACGUUCCCGGGCCUUGUACACACCGCCCGUCACACCAUGGGAGUGGAUUGCACCAGAAGUAGUUAGUCUACCUUCGGGAGGACGAUUACCACGGUGUGGUUCAUGACUGGGGUGAAGUCGUAACAAGGUAACCGUA
rnacentral:rRNA from 1 species